rnacentral:rRNA from 1 species
GACGAACGCUGGCGGCGUGCUUAACACAUGCAAGUCGAGCGGAGCGGCGCACGGGUGAGUAACGCGUGAGUAACUGCCCCCCUAGCUGGGAUAACAGUUGGAAAAGGCUGCUAAUACCGGAACGUGGGGGAUGACUCGCGUCCUAUCAGCUUGUUGGGGGGGUAGUGGCCUACAAAGGCGCCGACGGGUAGCCGGCCUGAGAGGGCGAACGGCCACAUUGGGCUGAGAUACGGCCCAAACUCCUACGGGAGGCAGCAGUUGGGAAUAUUGCACAAUGGGGGAAACCCUGAUGCAGCAACGUCGCGUGCGGGAUGACGGCCUUCGGGUUGUAAACCGCUGUCAGCCAUGACGCGGUAGUGGCAGAAGAAGCACCGGCUAACUACGUGCCAGCAGCCGCGGUAAUUC